rnacentral:snRNA from 1 species
GUGCUCGCUUCGACAGCACAUAUACUAAAAUUGGAACAAUACAGAGAAGAUUAGCAUAGCCCCCGAGCAAGGAUGACACAAAAAAAAUUCGUGAAGUGCUCCAUAUAUUU